UACGUAGGGGGCAAGCGUUGUCCGGAUUCAUUGGGCGUAAAGAGCGUGUAGGCGGCCAGGUAGGUCGGUUGUGAAAACUGGAGGCUCAACCUUCAGAGGUCGACCGAAACCAUCUGGCUAGAGUCCGGGAGAGGAGAGUGGAAUUCCUGGUGUAGCGGUGAAAUGCGCAGAUAUCAGGAAGAACACCCGUGGCGAAAGCGGCUCUCUGGAACGGCAUUGACGCUGAGGCGCGAAAGCUAGGGGAGCAAACGGG
rnacentral:rRNA from 1 species